rnacentral:rRNA from 1 species
UACGUAGGCAGCGAGCGUUGUUCGGAGUUACUGGGCGUAAAGGGUGCGUAGGCGGUUGUUUAAGGUUGGUGUGAAAUCUCCCGGCUCAACUGGGAGGGUGCGCCGAAUACUGAAUGACUAGAGUGCGGGAGAGGAUAGUGGAAUUCCUGGUGUAGCGGUGAAAUGCGUAGAUAUCAGGAGGAACACCGGUGGUGUAGACGGCUCGCUGGGACGUUACUGACGCUGAGACGCGAAAGCGUGGGGAGCAAACAGG